rnacentral:misc_RNA from 1 species
GUUGCGGGCUCUGGUGUUCGCUCGUGGUUCUUGUGUUGCCUACCCGUUUAGCGGUAUUCAUAUGCCUCUUAAGACACGUUCCAUCAGGACCCCUUCUAGGGGCUGCUGGGGAGUUCGGAAGUGAUGCAUGUUUUGCGUUAGCUAUGCAUUGUAAUGGCUCGCGUGCUCACAUGUGUCUAUUGUUCCCUCGGAUGCGGUGCAUGCGGUGAACGUGGGUGAUGAUUGAGCCCCGUUGAGCCCCUUCGAUUUAUCGGUUGCCUUGAAUGACAUUUUGCCGUAGUGCUGGUGUUGCUUUACCAUUCGUGGUGGCAACACUCGCACGUCGAGCAGAAUUGUUGAUGGAUGCUACCUGGUUGAUCCUG